rnacentral:rRNA from 1 species
CACAGGGAGGUAGUGACAAGAAAUAACAAUACAGGGCAUAUGUCUUGUAAUUGGAAUGAUGCCGACUUAAACCCUCGGCAGAGUACCAAUUGGAGGGCAAGUCUGGUGCCAGCAGCCGCGGUAAUUCCAGCUCCAAUAGCGUAUAUUAAACUUGUUGCAGUUAAAAAGCUCGUAGUUGAAUUUGAGCUUGCGCGAUUCCGUUAUUGGAGUAUUGCGCUUGCUUUUUUGUUACUUUGAGAAAAUUAGAGUGUUUCAAGCAGACUUUUGUCUUGAAUACUUCAGCAUGGAAUAAUAGAGUAGGACCUUGGUUCUAUUUUGUUGGUUUUUGAGCCUUGGUAAUGGUU